GACCUCAGUUCAGGUGAGAUUACCGGCUGAAUUUAAGCAUAUUACUAAGCCGAGGAAAAGAAACUAACAAGGAUUCCCCUAGUAGCAGCGAGCGAACAGGGAAGAGCCCAGCGCUGAAUCCCCCGGGCCUCGCUCGGCGGGAAAUGUAGCGUUUGGGAGGGCCCGUCAACACGGCGACUCGCUCACUGGUUCAAGUCCAACUUGAAUGGGGCCACACAGAGGGUGACAGGCCCGUAGAGCAGGAGCGGUUGUCGUGUGGGUCUCUCCUUAGAGUCGGUUUGCUUGAGAGUGCAGACUUAAGUGGGUGGUAAACUCCAUCUAAGGCUAAAUAUGACCACGAGACCGAUAGCACACAAGUACCGUGAGGGAAAGGUGAAAAGAACUUUGAAGAGAGAGUUCAAGAGUACGUGAAACUGAAGUGGUGUAAACGGACGAGUUCGAAAAGUCCGAAUGGUGAGAUUCAAGCUUACCGUGCCGGUGGCCCUCGGGUUCAGAUGGCGUCGUCAGCUCGGGCUUCGGUUCGGGUCAUACGGCGUCACUCGUCCUGGGGGUAUCUGUCUGGUGCGGUGGGCUGCACUUCUCGCCUAGUAGGACGUCGCGACCCGUUGGGAUGUUCCGUUCACUGGCCCUCGGUGGAGCCCGCGCCGGAGCGUGGCCUUGUGCCGCGUUGCUGUUUGCACGGACCCGGGGUGACCUGAUCGGCGCCCGACGGUAUCAAAGCUUGGGAAGAGGCCGCACAGAGGAUGCGUUCGAUGGCCGUUUCGGCCUACACUCGGACAGGCCUGCACCCGGUCAGCGGCGCUUCUGCUUUCGAUACUCGUCCGACCCGUCUUGAAACACG
rnacentral:rRNA from 1 species